CCUACGGGUGGCUGCAGUGGGGAAUAUUGGACAAUGGGCGAAAGCCUGAUCCAGCCAUGCCGCGUGUGUGAAGAAGGCCUUCGGGUUGUAAAGCACUUUCAGUGGGGAAGAAAGCCUUGGGGCUAAUACCCUCGAGGAAGGACAUCACCCACAGAAGAAGCACCGGCUAACUCCGUGCCAGCAGCGCGGUAAUACGGAGGGUGUGAGCGUUAAUCGGAAUUACUGGGCGUAAAGCGCGCGUAGGCGGUCUGAUAAGCCGGUUGUGAAAGCCCCGGGCUCAACCUGGGAACGGCAUCCGGAACUGUCAGCCUAGAGUGCAGGAGAGGAAGGUAAAAUUCCCGGUGUAGCGGUGAAAUGCGUAGAGAUCGGGAGGAAUACCAGUGGCGAAGGCGGCCUUCUGGACUGACACUGACGCUGAGGUGCGAAAGCGUGGGUAGCAAACAGGAUUAGAUACCCUUGUAGU
rnacentral:rRNA from 1 species